rnacentral:rRNA from 1 species
GACGAACGCUGGCGGCGUGCCUAAUACAUGCAAGUCGAACGCAGUGGGGACGGGUGAGUAACACGUGGGUAACCUCCCAUCAGAGGGGAUAACACUUGGAAACAGGUGCUAAACCGAUACUGAUGGAUGGACCCGCGGUGCAUGAGCUAGUUGGUGAGGUAACGGCGCACCAAGGCCACGAUGCAUAGCCGGCCUGAGAGGGUGAUCGGGCAAACUGGUACAGAGACACGGCCCAGAGUCCUACGGGAGGCAGCAGUAGGGAAUCGUGGGCAAGGGACGAAAGUCUGACCGAGCAACGCCGCGGGAGUGAAGGAGGUUUUCGGAUCGUAAAACUCUGUUGUUAGAGAAGCGGUAUCUAACCAGAAAGCCACGGCUAACUACGUGCCAGCAGCCGCGGUAAUUC